GACGAACGCUGGCGGCGUGCCUAAUACAUGCAAGUUGAGCGCUGAAGGUUGGUACUUGUACCAACUGGAUGAGCAGCGAACGGGUGAGUAACGCGUGGGGAAUCUGCCUUUGAGCGGGGGACAACAUUUGGAAACGAAUGCUAAUACCGCAUAAAAACUUUAAACACAAGUUUUAAGUUUGAAAGAUGCAAUUGCAUCACUCAAAGAUGAUCCCGCGUUGUAUUAGCUAGUUGGUGAGGUAAAGGCUCACCAAGGCGAUGGUACAUAGCCGACCUGAGAGGGUGGGCGGCCACAUUGGGACUGAUACACGGCCCAAACUCCUACGGGAGGCAGCAGUAGGGAAUCUUUGGCAAUGGACGUAAGUCUUACCCAGCAACGCCGCGUGAGUGCAGAAGGUUUUCGGAUCGCAAAACUCCGUUGGUAGCGAAGAACGUUGGUUAGAGUGGAAAGCUCAUCAAGUGACGGUAACUACCCAGAAAGGGACGGCUAACUACGUG
rnacentral:rRNA from 1 species